rnacentral:rRNA from 1 species
AGUGAACGCUGGCGGUAGGCCUAACACAUGCAAGUCGAACGGCAGCACAGUAAGAGCUUGCUCUUACGGGUGGCGAGUGGCGGACGGGUGAGGAAUACCUCGGAAUCUACUUUUUCGUGGGGGAUAACGUAGGGAAACUUACGCUAAUACCGCAUACGACCUACGGGUGAAAGCAGGGGAUCUUCGGACCUUGCGCGAUUGAAUGAGCCGAUGUCGGAUUAGCUAGUUGGCGGGGUAAAGGCCCACCAAGGCGACGAUCCGUAGCUGGUCUGAGAGGAUGAGCAGCCACACUGGAACUGAGACACGGGCCAGACGCCUACGGGAGGCAGCAGUGGGGAAUAUUGGACAAUGGGCGCAAGCCUGAUCCAGCCAUACCGCGUGGGUGAAGAAGGCCUGCGGGUUGUAAAGCCCUUUUGUUGGGAAAGAAAAGCAGCAGGUUAAUACCCCGCUGUUCUGAAGGUACCCAAAGAAUAAGCACCGGCGAACUUCGU